UCAUCCUACGACGCGGUGCGCUCGGCCGUCUGUAGCCUCAGCCGGAGAGCUGAUCGUCUGUAGGAUCACGCUUGUCCGUCUUGAUCUAGAAAAGCCCAGCCCUCCGGGGGCGGAGGAGAAAGUCACCGGGUGGCCCUCGUGCUCAGGCGCCCCGACGGGCGGCCUGCCCGCAGGGCUCCGCGCGCCCCCUCAACCUGGGAAUCCGGGGAUGGCCUCGCGCCCGGCGCAAGGACGUGCGGACCUGGGCGGUGGGCUUCGAGAAUGACGGUGACUUACUGCCCGCUUGGUGGAUUGCUGUGCAUCCAGACGAGGCGGUACAAGUUUUGGAACAAGUUUUUUGAGCACGUAGAAAGACAUGGAUUUGAUUGACAUCCUUUGGAGGCAAGACAUAGAUCUUGGGGUAAGUCGAGAAGUGUUUGACUUUAGUCAGCGACAGAAGGAUUAUGAGCUGGAAAAACAGAAAAAACUCGAAAAGGAGAGACAAGAGCAACUCCAGAAGGAACAGGAGAAGGCCUUUUUCGCUCAGUUACAACUGGAUGAAGAGACCGGAGAAUUCCUCCCAAUUCAGCCAGCCCAGCACAUCCAGACAGACACCAGUGGAUCUGUCAGCUACUCCCAGGUUGCCCACAUUCCCAAACAAGAUGCCUUGUACUUUGAAGACUGUAUGCAGCUUUUGGCAGAGACAUUCC
rnacentral:lncRNA from 1 species